CCCAAGUUAGUUCGAGUUCCCAUUAAAAAAAUUUGACUUUUUUUUUUUCUGACUUUGACUUUAUAAAUGUGUUUAGAGUAAACAACAUAAAUCGUCCCUGUGGUUUAGCGAAAUAGUCACGUUUUAUCCUUGUGGUUCAAUAACCUCAUGGAUCAUUCUUUAUACGAAAAAAAGCAUCACAAAUAGUCCUUUGACUAUUUGACCGGCAGCCCACCUCCGAUUAAUCUCCACGUGAGGGACAGUCUUGUCUUUUCGCAUUGCCCUGCACUCUCUUUCCUCCUUUUCUUUAUUAUUUCCCCAUAUAUAUACACAUACAUCUAUAUCAAAUCCAAUAAACUAAUUUAUUUCUUCCUCCUCCUUUUCCAUACAAAAUUAAAAACGCAAACAAUCAAGAAUGGUGUUUUGUGGGUGUGGUAAGCAAGCAAUAAUCAUAACAUCAUGGACCCCCAAAAACCCAGGAAGAAGAUUCUAUGCUUGUCCUAAUCAGGGUUCAAGUGCAAAUUCAUAGGAUGGUUUGAUCCAGCAAUGUGUCAAUGUGCGACUGAGAUCAUACCAGGGUUGUUGAAAUCAAAGAAUAAAUUGGAAGCACAAAUUAAAGAAAAAGAUGAUCAAUUGAAGAAAUUGAAGAUGUUGUUGGUUGUUGCUACAAUUGUAAUCGUGCUUCUUGUAUCUUUGUUACUAGUUCGAAGAAAACGUAUGUAGUAUUUUGUAUUUGUUUGUAAUUUUUAGUAUUUGGAAUGAAAUGAAUUUUAGUA